rnacentral:lncRNA from 1 species
AUGCACACCACAUCACACCACAUGCACACCACAUCACACCACAUGCACACCACAUGCACACCACAUCACACCACAUGCACACCACAUCACACCACAUCACACACCACAUCACACCACAUGCACACCACAUCACACCACAUGCACACCACAUCACACCACAUGCACACCACAUCACACCACAUCACACCACAUGCACACCACAUCACACCACAUGCACACCACAUCACACCACAUGCACACCACAUCACACCACAUCACACCACAUGCACACCACAUCACACCACAUGCACACCACAUCACACACCACAUCACACACCACAUACACACCACAUGCACACCACAUCACACACCACAUCACACACCACAUGCACACCACAUCACACACCAUCACACACCACAUGCACACCACAUGCACACCACAUCACACACCACAUCACACCACAUGCACACCACACACCACAUCACACCACAUGCACACCACAUGCACACCACAUCACACACCACAUCACACACCACAUGCACACCACAUGCACACCACAUCACACACCACAUCACACCACAUGCACACCACACACCACAUCACACCACAUGCACACCACAUCACAUACACACCACAUCACACACCACAUGCACACCACAUCACACACCACAUGCACACCACAUCACACACCAUCACACACCACAUGCACACCACAUCACACACCACAUACACACCACAUGCACAGUGAUCAGUUGACAGUCUUCCACUCAUUUUCUUGUCCCUAUCUCACAGCUCUCUCUCUCUUUCUGUCUUCGUCUCCCAUUUUCAUUCUUUCUCUACUCCUUUGUUUUUCUGUUUUACCCUUUCUCUCUGUCAACCUUUUCCUUCUCUUUCCAUCUCUCUCUUCUCUCCUGUUCUUUCUCCCCUCCCUCCCCUCUCCCUUUCAUAUUCUCUCGUUAUCUCUUUUUCUCACUCUUCUCUCUCUCUCUAUCCCACUUUCUCUUCAUCAUUCUAGCCCUCUCCCUCUAUCUCUCUCCUUCCUCUCAACCAUACCCAUUUCCUCUCUGCCUCAAUCCCAGAUAAUUCCUUCUGUCUCAAUCCCAGAUAAUUCCUUCUGUCUCAAUCCCAGAUAA